CAACCUACUCCUAGGCUAUGAAGCCAUCCACCAGCCUUACCUAGGCACAGGCCAAUGCACUGCUGCCUGGGACAACAGGUCACUGCAGAACUGGCAUCACCCAAGAAUCCGAAGGACUCGGCUGAAUAAAGACCAUGAUCCGAAGUUAAAAGGAGUUUCAGUGUGGCAGGGAGACCAACGCAAGAGCAUCAUGACAUGAAUGCGGAAGGAAGUAGUCCCUCAAUGACCAACAGCCGACCUUAAGUUCACCACCAGAUGCUUCAUGACAAACUCACAAAGGCAAUAGCCACAAAG